GGGGAAGUCCGGUGAGAGUCCGGCGCUGACCCGCAACGGUGUGCGCGGGGACCUGUGUCCUCGCGCGAGCCCGAUCGCCC
rnacentral:ncRNA from 2 species